GACGAACGCUGGCGGCGUGCUUAACUCAUGCAAGUCGAACGGUAAGGCCCUUCGGGGUACACGAGUGGCGAACGGGUGAGUAACACGUGGGUGAUCUGCCCUGCACUUCGGGAUAAGCCUGGGAAACUGGGUCUAAUACCGGAUAGGACCACUGCCUGCAUGGGUGGUGGUGGAAAGUUUUUGCGGUGUGGGAUGGGCGCGCGGCCUAUCAGCUGGUUGGUGGGGUGAUGGCCUACCAAGGCGACGACGGGUAGCCGGCCUGGGAGGGUGACCGGCCACACUGGGACUGAGAUACGGCCCAGACUCCUACGGGAGGCAGCAGUGGGGAAUAUUGCACAAUGGGCGCAAGCCUGAUGCAGCGACGCCGCGUGAGGGAUGACGGCCUUCGGGUUGUAAACCUCUUCCAGCACCGACGAAGCGCAAGUGACGGUAGGUGCAGAAGAAGGACCGGCCAACUACGUGCCAGCCGCCGCGGUAA
rnacentral:rRNA from 1 species